UACGUAGGGUCCAAGCGUUAAUCGGAAUUACUGGGCGUAAAGCGUGCGCAGGCGGUUCGUUAAGUCAGCUGUGAAAGCCCCGGGCUCAACCUGGGAAUUGCGGUUGAAACUGGCGAACUAGAAUCUGGCAGAGGGGGGUGGAAUUCCACGUGUAGCAGUGAAAUGCGUAGAGAUUUGGAGGAACACCGAUGGCGAAGGCAGCCCCCUGGGCUGAGAUUGACGCUCAGGCACGAAAGCGUGGGGAGCAAACAGG
rnacentral:rRNA from 1 species